rnacentral:lncRNA from 1 species
CUGCGGAAAUCAGACUCCAACCGAACUUCAGCCGACAAGUCUGGACCCCCUGGCAGGCCGCAGUAACGGCCACGAUUCUGCUCCACUCCCUACGGUGGAUCCUACGCGGCUCCAUUACUCCCUGGUAGGCCGCAAUAAUGGCCACGAUUCUGCUCCACUUCCUGCAACGGAUACUCUGUGCAGUUCCACUACUCCCUGGCGAGUCACGACAACGGACGCCGCUCCACUCCCCACAAAUGAUUCCACAUGGUGAGC